rnacentral:sRNA from 1 species
AUCGAAUAUACAAACCCAGGCGAGGGCGAAUCGGGAUCGCUGUCGCUGGCCUUUUGCUAGGCAUGUGCACGCUUUCCUCAGUAGCCUUCGCCUUAUGGGCGCGGGGCGACCCGCGUCUUCAUAUACCUCUUCGUGUAGAAAGUCUUUGAAUGUUUAUACCAUCAUCGAGUCGCGACUUCUAGGAGACGCGAUUCUUUGAGACAAAAGUUAUUACAACUUUCAGCAAUGGAUCUCUUGGCUCUCGCAUCGAUGAAGAACGCAGCGAAUCGCGAUAUGUAAUGUGAAUUGCAGAUCUACAGUGAAUCAUCGAAUCUUUGAACGCACCUUGCGCUCCUCGGUGUUCCGAGGAGCAUGCCUGUUUGAGCGUCAGUAAAUUCUCAACCCCUCUCGAUUUGCUUCGAUAGGGUGCUUGGAUAGUGGGGGCUGCCGGAGACCUGGACUUUUUGGCUUAGAAUUGGGCUCCCCCUAAAUGAAUUCGCUUGGGGGCCGGUUUCCAAUAAUGCUGACCAAGGUUUUGGCGUGAUUAUGGACCCCUUAAGUGGAUGAAUGGACGGCCCCGGGCUUCCAUCCGGCCA